AAUCCCUAAAGAAAAAAAAGAUACAAUUAAGCUGUUAAGACAAGCCAGAAGUGCAUUUAUUUAAAAGUCACAAAAAUUAAUGAGCAGCUUGAAAUGUUGGACAAGACCGUUUGCUUUCCUGUUACAAUUGGCAGAACUGAAUAUGAAUACGUUAAGAAUAUGGACCUGGGUCCAAAGAACUGUGAAACUACCUCCAUGGACCCAGAAAGGCUUCCCCAAUGCAUGUGAAAAUGAAGGGGCUUUCAAAGUACUCCGCAGUGUGGCAUGUGGAUCUGUCAUUUAAAGAGUGGAAGGAGAGGCAGAAGGCCCACAGUGGAAGAGGAAUUCACAGCAUGGUGAUGUCAUGUCACAUAUUUUGAAUGGCUGACCAGACAUUACCAGGGGAGAGAGGAGACGAUGAUGUGGAGCUGCUGCUUUCAGGAUAUACUUUAUACUGUACACAAAGGACAAAGCAGAGAGAAAACAUGGGCACCUGAAUGGAUCUAAUGAGGCUUUUAUGAACGAGACCGUACACCAUCAAAUGUCAGUUAAGUCUCUGAGGUACCAUGGCACUAUUUUCUACUAAAAAGAAAAAGAAAUUUUCAGCUUUCAAGUCUGCUUGUAUGGAUUUGCCUCUGGUUUUAAAUAUUAAGACAAAGACAGUAAAUUUAGAAGUCAUCCAUCUGUACUUUGAAAAUAAACAACUGACUAUUUGAAGGCAUACCUGAAUUAUGAUAAGGAGACAAAUUCCAGCCCCCAUUUCUGCAGGAUCACCAUACAUCCCAGUCAUGACAUACACAAUUGCCUGCCCAAUGGUAAUAAUCAUUCCAAACACUGAAACAAAUAAGAAAGACAUUCCCCAUUUAUAUAUGAUUUACUACACACAAGAUAAUCUAGACUCCAAUACUACAUACUGAUUAACUAGGGGAAAAGGAGGAUUCUCAUGGCAUGCAAAUUUUGCUCACGCUUCUGAGCGCCAUUGAAUAGGGCUCUGUCUUU